rnacentral:rRNA from 1 species
GACGAACGCUGGCGGCGUGCCUAAUACAUGCAAGUCGAACGCACAGUUUAUACCGUAGCUUGCUACACCAUAGACUGUGAGUUGCGAACGGGUGAGUAACGCGUAGGUAACCUGCCUGGUAGCGGGGGAUAACUAUUGGAAACGAUAGCUAAUACCGCAUAAUAUUGAUUAUUGCAUGAUAAUUGAUUGAAAGAUGCUAUUGCAUCACUACCAGAUGGACUUGCGUUGUAUUAGCUAGUAGGUGAGGUAACGGCUCACCUAGGCGACGAUACAUAGCCGACCUGAGAGGGUGAUCGGCCACACUGGGACUGAGACACGGCCCAGACUCCUACGGGAGGCAGCAGUAGGGAAUCUUCGGCAAUGGACGAAAGUCUGACCGAGCAACGCCGCGUGAGUGAAGAAGGUUUUCGGAUCGUAAAGCUCUGUUGUAAGAGAAGAACGGGUGUGAGAGUGGAAAGUUCACACUGUGACGGUAUCUUACCAGAAAGGGACGGCUAACUACGUG